rnacentral:lncRNA from 1 species
ACAUCAACAAGAGGAAUAUUCAUCACAUAGCAUGGAUUACUCAUGAUUUGUUUAUGAUUCUACAACCCUAACUUUUCUAGAAACCUAGAGUUUCUAACUAGAACUCACCUAGUAGAAGAAGAUGAAGUUGGUGAUGAUGAAGAUGAGAUGAUGGUGUUGAUGAACAUGCUCUUCAUGAGCUUUCCAUCUUUUUUCUCUUUUCUUCUU